CGUCGAGCUACUACGGUAGUGAAGUCAUUGAUGCCAUGCUUCCAGGAAAAGCCUCUAAGCUUCAGAUUGUAAGGAAUCGUACCCCAAACCGACACAGGUGGUCGGGUAGAGAAUACCAAGGCGCUUGAGAGAACUCGGGUGAAGGAACUAGGCAAAAUGGUACCGUAACUUCGGGAGAAGGUACGCUCUUGAUGGUGAAGUCCCUUGCGGAUGGAGCUGACGAGAGUCGCAGAUACCAGGUGGCUGCAACUGUUUAUUAAAAACACAGCACUGUGCAAAAUCGUAAGAUGACGUAUACGGUGUGACGCCUGCCCGGUGCCGGAAGGUUAAUUGAUGGGGUUAGCGUAAGCGAAGCUCUUGAUCGAAGCCCCGGUAAACGGCGGCCGUAACUAUAACGGUCCUAAGGUAGCGAAAUUCCUUGUCGGGUAAGUUCCGACCUGCACGAAUGGCGUAAUGAUGGCCACGCUGUCUCCACCCGAGACUCAGUGAAAUUGAAAUCGCUGUGAAGAUGCAGUGUACCCGCGGCUAGACGGAAAGACCCCGUGAACCUUUACUACAGCUUGGCACUGAACAUUGAACCUACAUGUGUAGGAUAGGUGGGAGGCUUUGAAGACGUGACGCCAGUUGCGUUGGAGCCGUCCUUGAAAUACCACCCUUGUAUGUUUGAUGUUCUAACGUUGGCCCCUAAUCGGGGUUGCGGACAGUGCCUGGUGGGUAGUUUGACUGGGGCGGUCUCCUCCCAAAGAGUAACGGAGGAGCACGAAGGUGGGCUAAUCACGGUUGGACAUCGUGAGGUUAGUGCAAUGGCAUAAGCCCGCUUAACUGCGAGAAUGACGGUUCGAGCAGGUGCGAAAGCAGGUCAUAGUGAUCCGGUGGUUCUGAAUGGAAGGGCCAUCGCUCAACGGAUAAAAGGUACUCCGGGGAUAACAGGCUGAUACCGCCCAAGAGUUCAUAUCGACGGCGGUGUUUGGCACCUCGAUGUCGGCUCAUCACAUCCUGGGGCUGAAGUCGGUCCCAAGGGUAUGGCUGUUCGCCAUUUAAAGUGGUACGCGAGCUGGGUUUAGAACGUCGUGAGACAGUUCGGUCCCUAUCUGCCGUGGGCGUUGGAAGAUUGAAGGGGGCUGCUCCUAGUACGAGAGGACCGGAGUGGACGAACCUCUGGUGUUCGGGUUGUGUCGCCAGACGCAUUGCCCGGUAGCUAAGUUCGGAAUCGAUAACCGCUGAAAGCAUCUAAGCGGGAAGCGAGCCCUGAGAUGAGUCUUCCCUGAUACUUUAAGUAUCCUGAAGGGUUGUUCGAGACUAGAACGUUGAUAGGCAGGGUGUGUAAGCGCUGUGAGGUGUUGAGCUAACCUGUACUAAUUGCCCGUGAGGCUUAACCAU
rnacentral:rRNA from 1 species